rnacentral:rRNA from 1 species
ACGGAGGAUCCAAGCGUUAUCCGGAAUCAUUGGGUUUAAAGGGUCCGUAGGCGGGACAAUAAGUCAGUGGUGAAAGUCUGCAGCUCAACUGUAGAAUUGCCAUUGAUACUGUUGUUCUUGAGUGUUUAUGAAGUGGUUAGAAUAUGUAGUGUAGCGGUGAAAUGCAUAGAUAUUACAUAGAAUACCGAUUGCGAAGGCAGAUCACUAAUAAAAUACUGACGCUGAUGGACGAAAGCGUAGGUAGCGAACAGG